CUUCGAUGAUGAUAUAAUUUAUGUCAGUUCUGCUACUGAUUGUUUUUUGACGACAAUUUUAUUCUGAGCA